rfam:Flavobacterium sp. FPG59 Contig_189, whole genome shotgun sequence.
AAAGCGAAAGCCGAAAAGCUCAAGAGUAGGCA